rnacentral:rRNA from 1 species
CCUGGUAGCGGGGGAGUAACUAUUGGAAACGAUAGCUAAUACCGCAUAAUAUUGAUUAUUUGCAUGAUAAUUGAUUGAAAGAUGCAACUGCAUCACUACCAGAUGGACCUGCGUUGUAUUAGCUAGUAGGUGAGGUAACGGCUCACCUAGGCGACGAUACAUAGCCGACCUGAGAGGGUGAUCGGCCACACUGGGACUGAGACACGGCCCAG